rnacentral:rRNA from 1 species
UGGCUCAGAUUGAACGCUGGCGGCAGGCCUAACACAUGCAAGUCGAGCGGCAGCGGGAAGAUAGCUUGCUAUCUUUGCCGGCGAGCGGCGGACGGGUGAGUAAUGCCUAGGGAUCUGCCCAGUCGAGGGGGAUAACAGUUGGAAACGACUGCUAAUACCGCAUACGCCCUACGGGGGAAAGGAGGGGACCUUCGGGCCUUUCGCGAUUGGAUGAACCUAGGUGGGAUUAGCUAGUUGGUGAGGUAAUGGCUCACCAAGGCGACGAUCCCUAGCUGUUCUGAGAGGAUGAUCAGCCACACUGGGACUGAGACACGGCCCAGACUCCUACGGGAGGCAGCAGUGGGGAAUAUUGCACAAUGGGCGAAAGCCUGAUGCAGCCAUGCCGCGUGUGUGAAGAAGGCCUUCGGGUUGUAAAGCACUUUCAGUAGGGAGGAAAGGNNGUUGUUUAAUANNCNNCNUCUGUGACGUUACCUACAGAAGAAGGACCGGCUAACUCCGUGCCA